rnacentral:rRNA from 1 species
UACGGAGGGGGCUAGCGUUGUUCGGAAUUACUGGGCGUAAAGGGCGCGUAGGCGGCCAGCACAAGUCAGUUGUGAAAUCUCCGAGCUUAACUCGGAAAGGUCAACUGAUACUGUGCGGCUAGAGUGCAGAAGGGGCAACUGGAAUUCUUGGUGUAGCGGUGAAAUGCGUAGAUAUCAAGAGGAACACCUGCGGCGAAGGCGGGUUGCUGGGCUGACACUGACGCUGAGGCGCGAAAGCUAGGGGAGCGAACGGG